rnacentral:rRNA from 1 species
GAACGAACGCUGGCGGCAGGCCUAACACAUGCAAGUCGAGCGAACCCUUCGGGGUUAGCGGCGGACGGGUUAGUAACGCGUGGGAAUAUACCCUUUGGUACGGAAUAGCCUCGGGAAACUGAGAGUAAUACCGUAUGUGCCCUUCGGGGGAAAGAUUUAUCGCCAAAGGAUUAGCCCGCGUUGGAUUAGAUAGUUGGUGGGGUAAUGGCCUACCAAGUCUACGAUCCAUAGCUGGUUUGAGAGGAUGAUCAGCAACACUGGGACUGAGACACGGCCCAGACUCCUACGGGAGGCAGCAGUGGGGAAUCUUAGACAAUGGGCGCAAGCCUGAUCUAGCCAUGCCGCGUGGACGAUGAAGGCCUUAGGGUUGUAAAGUCCUUUCAGAUGGGAAGAUAAUAACGGUACCAUCAGAAGAAGCCCCGGCUAACUCCGUG